GGAGAAGAACAAGAGGGAAGAGGCGAUUCUCCAGCGAUUUAAGUUCGCAUGUUGAUGUUGCGUGCUUGGGGUUUGGAAGCCUCGUGGGUGGAUUGGCAUAAAAAAUUUUCAAGUUAUGUUACGAAAACUCGAGAAAACAACGAGCGGCAAAAACUAAAAAUCUGAAUUGUCAACGCCACAUGGACUUGUGCAAGCCGUGUGGUAGGCCGUAUGCGAUACAUGACCGUGUGCUGGACCGUGUGAGACACAUAAUCUGGGCUAUUCAGGUCGUGUAGGCCACACGGGCGUGUGGACCCAAAAUCUAAAAAAUUCCCCUAGGGUUGUAUUCGUCGUACGAGUCAAAUGUAAACCUUCCGUAGGGUUUGUAAGAUAAAAAUUACCUUAUAAAUCGUGAUAUUUGAUAUGCUAAUUAUGAUUAAA